CCUACGGGGGGCUGCAGUGGGGAAUAUUGGACAAUGGGCGAAAGCCUGAUCCAGCCAUGCCGCGUGUGUGAAGAAGGCCUUCGGGUUGUAAAGCACUUUCAGUGGGGAAGAAAGCCUUGGGGCUAAUACCCUCGAGGAAGGACAUCACCCACAGAAGAAGCACCAGCUAACUCCGUGCCAGCAGCCGCGGUAAUACGGAGGGUGCGAGCGUUAAUCGGAAUUACUGGGCGUAAAGCGCGCGUAGGCGGUCUGAUAAGCCGGUUGUGAAAGCCCCGGGCUCAACCUGGGAACGGCAUCCGGAACUGUCAGGCUAGAGUGCAGGAGAGGAAGGUAGAAUUCCCGGUGUAGCGGUGAAAUGCGUAGAGAUCGGGAGGAAUACCAGUGGCGAAGGCGGUCUUCUGGACUGACACUGACGCUGAGGUGCGAAAGCGUGGGUAGCAAACAGGAUUAGAUACCCGAGUAGUC
rnacentral:rRNA from 1 species